rnacentral:rRNA from 1 species
UACGGAGGGUGCGAGCGUUGUUCGGAAUCACUGGGCGUAAAGGGCGUGUAGGCGGUCCGCUAAGUCUGAUGUGAAAGCCCGGGGCUCACCCCCGGAAGGGCAUUGGAAACUGGCGGACUCGAGUCCCGGAGAGGAAGGUGGAAUUCCUGGUGUAGCGGUGAAAUGCGUAGAUAUCAGGAGGAACACCGGUGGCGAAGGCGGGUCUCUGGGCAGUAACUGACGCUGAGGAGCGAAAGCGUGGGGAGCGAACAGG